rnacentral:rRNA from 1 species
UAUAAGACUGGGAUAACUUGGGGAAACCGGGGCUAAUACCGGAUAAUAUUUUGAACCGCAUGGUUCAAUAGUGAAAGACGGUUUCGGCUGUCACUUAUAGAUGGACCCGCGCCGUAUUAGCUAGUUGGUAAGGUAACGGCUUACCAAGGCGACGAUACGUAGCCGACCUGAGAGGGUGAUCGGCCACACUGGAACUGAGACACGGUCCAGACUCCUACGGGAGGCAGCAGUAGGGAAUCUUCCGCAAUGGGCGAAAGCCUGACGGAGCAACGCCGCGUGAGUGAUGAAGGUCUUCGGAUCGUAAAACUCUGUUGUUAGGGAAGAACAAAUUUGUUAGUAACUGAACAAGUCUUGACGGUACCUAACCAGAAAGCCACGGCUAACUACGUGCCAGCAGCCGCGGUAAUACGUAGGUGGCAAGCGUUAUCCGGAAUUAUUGGGCGUAAGGCGCGCGUAGGCGGUUUCUUAAGUCUGAUGUGAAAGCCCACGGCUCAACCGUGGAGGGUCAUUGGAAACUGGGGAACUUGAGUGCAGAAGAGGAGAGUGGAAUUCCAUGUGUAGCGGUGAAAUGCGCAGAGAUAUGGAGGAACACCAGUGGCGAAGGCGGCUCUCUGGUCUGUAACUGACGCUGGUGUGCGAAAGCGUGGGGAUCAAACAGGAUUAGAUACCCUGGUAGUCCACGCCGUAAACGAUGAGUGCUAAGUGUUAGGGGGUUUCCGCCCCUUAGUGCUGCAGCUAACGCAUUAAGCACUCCGCCUGGGGAGUACGACCGCAAGGUUGAAACUCAAAG